rnacentral:tRNA from 1 species
CGAAUUAGAGCAUGAAUUUAUGCACCUCACUUACAAUGAAGAGAUAGAAGAUAUUCUUAAUUCGA